GUCUACGGCCAUAUCACGUUGAAAACACCGGUUCUCGCCCGAUCACCGAAGUUAAGCAACGUCGAGCCCGGUUAGUACUUGGAUGGGUGACCGCCUGGGAAUACCGGGUGCUGUAGGCUU
rnacentral:rRNA from 2 species